rnacentral:rRNA from 1 species
UACGUAGGGGCUAGGCGUUGUCCGGAAUCAUUGGGCGUAAAGAGCGCGUAGGCGGCCAGAUAAGUCCGGUGAUGAAAGUCAAAGGCUCAACCUUUGAAUGCCGCUGGAAACUGUCUGGCGUAGAGUCCGGGAGGGGCGAGUGGGAAUUCCUGGUGUAGCGGUGAAAUGCGCAGAUAUCAGGAGGAACACCAAUGGCGAAGGCAGCUCGCUGGGAACGGUACUGACGCUGAGGCGACGAAAGCGUGGGGAGCAAACAGG